GCCGGGCGCGGUGGCUCGCGCCUGUAAUCCCAGCACUUUGGGAGGCUGAGGCGGACGGAUCACCUGAGGUCAGGAGUUCGAGACCAGCCUGACCAACAUGGUGAAACCCCGUCUCUA
rfam:Homo sapiens chromosome 7, GRCh38 reference primary assembly.